rnacentral:tRNA from 1 species
GGGGCUGUGGUUCAGUGACAGAGCAUCUGCAUGACAUAUAGAAGGCCCCAAGUUCAAUCCUUGAUCAGUCCAG